rnacentral:rRNA from 1 species
UAAUACAGAGGGUGCAAGCGUUAUCCGGAUUUAUUGGGCGUAAAGCGUUUCGUAGGUUUCUAGAUAAGUUAGUCUUCAAAGACCACGGCUCAACCGGGGGAAGGGGACUAAUACUGUCUUGGAUUGAAAUAUGAUGGGGCUUCUGGAACUGAUGGUGUAGUAGUGAAAUACGUUGAUAUCAUCAGGAACUCCGAGGGCGAAGGCAGGAAGCUAAUCAUUUUUUGACACUGAGGAACGACAGCUAGGGGAGCGAAAGGGAUUAGAGACCCCUGUAGUCCUAGCCGUAAACUUUGCUCGCUAGGGGUUGGUGAUUUAUCACUCGCCCCGUAAGCUAACGCGUUAAGCGAGCCGCCUGGGGAGUACGGCCGCAAGGCUAAAACUCAAAGGAAUUGACGG